rnacentral:tRNA from 1 species
CAAAAUGAAGUCAAUAAAACAUUUCACAUACUGAAAAAAAACUCACUCAAAUAAGUCACUUUAC